UACGUAGGGUGCAAGCGUUGUUCGGAAUUACUGGGCGUAAAGGGCUCGUAGGCGGCCAACUAAGUCAGACGUGAAAUCCCCAGGCUCAACCUGGGAACUGCGUCUGAUACUGGAUGGCUUGAAUCCGGGAGAGGGAUGCAGAAUUCCAGGUGUAGCGGUGAAAUGCGUAGAGAUCUGGAAGAACACCAGUGGCGAAGGCGGCUACCUGGACCAGCACUGACACUGAGGCACGAAAGCGUGGGGAGCAAACAGG
rnacentral:rRNA from 1 species